UACGAAGGGGGCUAGCGUUGCUCGGAAUUACUGGGCGUAAAGCGCACGUAGGCGGUCUUUUAAGUCGGGGGUGAAAUCCUGGAGCUCAACUCCAGAACUGCCUUCGAUACUGGAAGACUUGAGUCCGGGAGAGGUGAGUGGAACUGCGAGUGUAGAGGUGAAAUUCGUAGAUAUUCGCAAGAACACCAGUGGCGAAGGCGGCUCACUGGCCCGGUACUGACGCUGAGGUGCGGAAAGCGUGGGGAGCAAACAGGG
rnacentral:rRNA from 1 species